UUGCUCUUCUUGGAUGAGUUGCGAACGGGUGAGUAACGCGUAGGUAACCUGCCUUGUAGCGGGGGAUAACUAUUGGAAACGAUAGCUAAUACCGCAUAACAAUGGAUGACACAUGUCAUUUAUUUGAAAGGGGCAAUUGCUCCACUACAAGAUGGACCUGCGUUGUAUUAGCUAGUAGGUGAGGUAAUGGCUCACCUAGGCGACGAUACAUAGCCGACCUGAGAGGGUGAUCGGCCACACUGGGACUGAGACACGGCCCAGACUCCUACGGGAGGCAGCAGUAGGGAAUCUUCGGCAAUGGGGGCAACCCUGACCGAGCAACGCCGCGUGAGUGAAGAAGGUUUUCGGAUCGUAAAGCUCUGUUGUAAGUCAAGAACGGGUGUGAGAGUGGAAAGUUCACACUGUGACGGUAGCUUACCAGAAAGGGACGGCUAACUACGUGCCAGCAGCCGCGGUAAUACGUAGGUCCCGAGCGUUGUCCGGAUUUAUUGGGCGUAAAGCGAGCGCAGGCGGUUUGAUAAGUCUGAAGUUAAAGGCUGUGGCUCAACCAUAGUUCGCUUUGGAAACUGUCAAACUUGAGUGCAGAAGGGGAGAGUGGAAUUCCAUGUGUAGCGGUGAAAUGCGUAGAUAUAUGGAGGAACACCGGUGGCGAAAGCGGCUCUCUGGUCUGUAACUGACGCUGAGGCUCGAAAGCGUGGGGAGCGAACAGGAUUAGAUACCCUGGUAGUCCACGCCGUAAACGAUGAGUGCUAGGUGUUGGAUCCUUUCCGGGAUUCAGUGCCGCAGCUAACGCAUUAAGCACUCCGCCUGGGGAGUACGACCGCAAGGUUGAAACUCAAAGGAAUUGACGGGGGCCCGCACAAGCGGUGGAGCAUGUGGUUUAAUUCGAAGCAACGCGAAGAACCUUACCAGGUCUUGACAUCCCGAUGCUAUUUCUAGAGAUAGAAAGUUACUUCGGUACAUCGGUGACAGGUGGUGCAUGGUUGUCGUCAGCUCGUGUCGUGAGAUGUUGGGUUAAGUCCCGCAACGAGCGCAACCCCUAUUGUUAGUUGCCAUCAUUCAGUUGGGCACUCUAGCGAGACUGCCGGUAAUAAACCGGAGGAAGGUGGGGAUGACGUCAAAUCAUCAUGCCCCUUAUGACCUGGGCUACACACGUGCUACAAUGGUUGGUACAACGAGUUGCGAGUCGGUGACGGCGAGCUAAUCUCUUAAAGCCAAUCUCAGUUCGGAUUGUAGGCUGCAACUCGCCUACAUGAAGUCGGAAUCGCUAGUAAUCGCGGAUCAGCACGCCGCGGUGAAUACGUUCCCGGGCCUUGUACACACCGCCCGUCACACCACGAGAGUUUGUAACACCCGAAG
rnacentral:rRNA from 1 species